rnacentral:tRNA from 1 species
UGCAUCGGCCAGGAAUCAAACCCAGGCCGCUCGUGUGGCAGGCGAGCAUUCUACCACUGAACCACCGAUGC